UGAACGGCCACAUUGGGACUGAGAUACGGCCCAGACUCCUACGGGAGGCAGCAGUCGGGAAUAUUGCGCAAUGGAGGAAACUCUGACGCAGUGACGCCGCGUAUAGGAAGAAGGUUUUCGGAUUGUAAACUAUUGUCGUUAGGGAAGAUAAAAGACAGUACCUAAGGAGGAAGCUCCGGCUAACUACGUGCCAGCAGCCGCGGUAAUACGUAGGGAGCAAGCGUUAUCCGGAUUUAUUGGGUGUAAAGGGUGCGUAGACGGGACAACAAGUUAGUUGUGAAAUCCCUCGGCUUAACUGAGGAACUGCAACUAAAACUAUUGUUCUUGAGUGUUGGAGAGGAAAGUGGAAUUCCUAGUGUAGCGGUGAAAUGCGUAGAUAUUAGGAGGAACACCAGUGGCGAAGGCGGCUUUCUGGACGACAACUGACGCUGAGGCGCGAAAGUGUGGGGAGCAAACAGGAUUAGAUACCCUGGUAGUCCACACCGUAAACGAUGGAUACUAGGUGUAGGAAAUGAUUUCAUUUUCUGUGCCGUCGCAAACGCAAUAAGUAUCCCACCUGGGGAGUACGGCCGCAAGGUUGAAACUCAAAGGAAUUGACGGGGGCCCGCACAAGCAGUGGAGUAUGUGGUUUAAUUCGAAGCAACGCGAAGAACCUUACCAGGGCUUGACAUAUAGAUGAAUAACUAAGAGAUUAGUUAGUCCUUCGGGACAUCUAUACAGGUGGUGCAUGGUUGUCGUCAGCUCGUGUCGUGAGAUGUUAGGUUAAGUCCUGCAACGAGCGCAACCCCUGUGAUUAGUUGCCAACAGGUUAAGCUGGGAACUCUAAUCAGACUGCCGGUGAUAAAUCGGAGGAAGGUGGGGAUGACGUCAAAUCAUCAUGCCCUUUAUGUCCUGGGCUACACACGUACUACAAUGGCUGUAACAGAGAGAAGCAACACCGCGAGGUAGAGCGAAACUCCAAAAGCAGUCUCAGUUCGGAUUGAAGGCUGAAAUUCGCCUUCAUGAAGCCGGAAUUGCUAGUAAUGGCAGGUCAGCAUACUGCCGUGAAUACGUUCCCGGGCCUUGUACACACCGCCCGUCACACCAUGAGAGUUGGGAAUACCCGAAGCCUGUGAGCCAACUGUAAAGAGGCAGCAGUCGAAGGUAGAAUCAAUGAUUGGGGUGAAGUCGUAACAAGGUAGCCGUAUCAGAAGGUGCGGCUG
rnacentral:rRNA from 1 species